AUUGAACGCUGGCGGCAGGCCUAACACAUGCAAGUCGAGCGGAUGAGGGGUGCUUGCACCCCGAUUCAGCGGAGGACGGGUGAGUAAUGCCUAGGAAUCUGCCCGAUAGUGGGGGACCACGUUUAGAAAGGAACGCUAAUACCGCAUACGUCCUACGGGAGAAAGUGGGGGCUCUUCGGACACCACGCUAUCGGAUGAGCCUAGGUCGGAUGAGCUAGUUGGUGGGGUAAAGGCUCACCAAGGCGACGAUCCGUAACUGGUCUGAGAGGAUGAGCAGUCACACUGGAACUGAGACACGGUCCAGACUCCUACGGGAGGCAGCAGUGGGGAAUAUUGGACAAUGGGCGAAAGCCUGAUGCAGCCAUGCCGCGUGUGUGAAGAAGGUCUUCGGAUUGUAAAGUACUUUAAGUCGGGAGGAAGGGCUGUAGGUUAAUACCUUGCAGCCUUGACGUUACCUACAGAAUAAGCACCGGCUAACUUCGUGCCAGCAGCCGCUGUAA
rnacentral:rRNA from 1 species